rnacentral:rRNA from 1 species
CCUACGGGAGGCAGCAGUGAGGAAUAUUGGUCAAUGGACGGAAGUCUGAACCAGCCAUGCCGCGUGCAGGAAGACGGCCCUAUGAGUUGUAAACCGCUUUUGUACAAGGGUAAACCUGAAUACGUGUAUUCAGCUGAAAGUACUGUACGAAUAAGGCUCGGCUAACUCCGUGCCAGCAGCCGCGGUAAUACGGAGGAUCCAAGCGUUAUCCGGAUUUAUUGGGUUUAAAGGGUGCGUAGGCGGAGUGAUAAGUUAGAGGUGAAAUGUCCGAGCUUAACUCGGGAACUGCCGCUAAUACUGUUGAUCUAGAGAGUGGAAGCGGUAGGCGGAAUGUAUGGUGUAGCGGUGAAAUGCUUAGAGAUCAUACAGAACACCGAUUGCGAAGGCAGCUUACCAAUCUAUAUCUGACGUUGAGGCACGAAAGCGUGGGGAGCGAACAGGAUUAGAUACCCGGGUAGUC